GAAUAAGUAUAAAGGGACCGAGAAUUGUACAACGGAUGAAGAGUUAGCUCGGAUGUUAAGUAGGACAAUAAACAGCUCUCCAAGAAUUUCGAAGAACUCAACCUCUAACUUAAGAAAUCAAAAACAUAAGAGGCUUAAAAGAUCUUCUCUUUCCGAAAAUGCUAAGCAUCAGAAUGGAAGAACGUCGUGGGAAGCAAAUCGACCUUCCAC
rnacentral:misc_RNA from 1 species